GUGCUCGCUUCGGCGCACAUAUACUAAAAUUAGAACGACACAGAGAAGAUUAGCAUGGCCCCUGAGCAAUGAUGACAUACAAAUUUGUGAAGCAUACCAUAUUUAA